UUUACUCGGAAAAUGAACUUUUUUUUUCUUUAUUUUCUUUUCUUCGUUUUUGCUUUUCCCGGGCUGGACAAACUGACCCAUGCACACGCAUCGAUUAUCUCUCGCCCUUUUACUCUCUAUUGAAAGUUGAAAACUUGAAGCAAACAAAUCCACAUUUCCCCUCAGUUUUAGUGUUUGCAAUUUUCAAUUGUUUUUUAAAAUUCUUGUUUGGGGUCUUAGGUUGAAUCAUUGGUUCCUUUCUUUUCCUUUCUGAGCAUCUGAUCUUUGUUUUCUCUCAAGAAAAAUUAAGUACAAAUCCCUUUUCCUUUGAAUUGAAGAAGGAAUCCCCCAAGAAACUCAAAACCUUUGCUUCUAUUCCCCAGCCUUGAUUUGGGGUUCUACUUUUCUCUUUCCUUUUUCUUUUGCUUGUUCAAAGUUUUAUUCUCUGUUCCAUUUCUUCCUUUUUGUCUCAAAAAACCCACUCUCGUGGUUUGCAUUGUCACAUAAAUUUCGUUCGUUUCUUCCUUUUGGGUUUUGUUUUUCGUUGUUAACUCCCCUUCAUUUUCUUGUCUUCAAAGCAUGGUUUUUUACCAAAUUUCCUAUAAGAAUACCCAAAUUGUUAAAUUUGAGAACAACCCAUUUCUCCAUUUUUACCUGAAAUUGUUUCCUUCUAUGCCUUAUGCUCCUUUUAAAUUCAGUUUCUUUUAGGCCUUUUAUCAAACACCUAAGCUACACAUUGAAAAAAAAAAAAUUCUUUUUUAUAUUCUUUUUUCUGUGUGACUUUGUGUUUUUAAAUCAUGGGUUGUGUUCAUGGAAAGUGUUGUAAUAGAAAUACAUCAUCAUCAGAUGGUGGUUCAGGUCACCAUGGAGAAAAGAAACCUUACAAUAACAAACACAUUCUUACACAAAGGUCAUUGGAGUCAGUUCCUGUUCCAUCUCACAACUUAACCUUGCAGUACUCAAUCUUAACACAGCGUGGUUAUUAUCCUGUCGCAGUUGAGAGGGAAAACGAAGAUAGUUUCUGUAUCAAAACACAAAUUCAAGGUAACCCAAAUGUUCAUUUCUUUGGUGUAUUUGAUGGACAUGGUGAAUUCGGUGCUCAAUGUUCAAACUUUGUCAAGGAUAGACUUGUAGAAAUAUUGUCUAGUGACUUUGCAUUGUUGGAUGAUCCUUUAAAAGCUUAUACUUCAGCAUUUUUAGCUACAAAAUCUGAGUUGCAUAAUAGUGAAAUUGAUGAUACUGAGAGUGGUACCACAGCGAUAACUGUCCUUGUUGUUGGGGAUACUCUUUAUGUUGCUAAUGUGGGUGACUCAAGAGCUGUGAUUGCUGUUAAGGACGGGGAUCAAAUUUUGGCUGAAAAUUUAUCUGAGGAUCAAACACCAUUUAGGAAAGAUGAAUAUGAUAGGGUGAAGCUUUGUGGGGCCAGCGUUUUGAGUAUUGGUCAAGUGGAAGGCCUUCAAGACCCGGAUAUUCAAUAUUGGGGUGAUGAAGAAAGUCAAUGUGAUGAUCCUCCUAGGUUGUGGCUUCCGAAUGAACUGAAUCCUGGGACUGCAUUUACAAGGAGUGUAGGAGAUAGUUCAGCGGAGAAGAUUGGUGUGAUUGCUGUUCCUGAGAUUUCAAUUGUUCAGCUUACACCUAAUCAUCUAUUCUUUGUUGUUGCAAGUGAUGGAGUUUUCCAGUUUCUCCCUAGUCAAACUGUUGUCAACAUGGCAGCAGCAUAUACAGAUCCCAGGGAUGCAUGUGCUGCAAUUGCUGGAGAAUCCUACAAACUAUGGUUGGAGCAUGAAAAUCGGACUGAUGAUAUUACAAUCAUCAUUGUACAGAUUAAAGGCUUAUCUAAUUCAGGUGCUGGUGCCACAGAUAGUGGAGUAGAUUACAGGCCAAUGAUUAUGAGAUCGGUCAAGGGAAGUGUUGAUGUGUCUUGUGUCUCUGAAUCUGAAACCUAUGGUUCAGUAAAAAGUGAUUUGUCAUUUAUACAGCAGUCCUGCCAACGUUAGUGUUUCAAUGAAUUGAAUUGCUGCUAUUGUUGUUCCAUCACCGAUGCAUUAGAGGCCUUUGCAAUUGGUUGGUUGCUCAAGCUAUAGUUUGGAAUAUUCUCAUAGUUCAUAUAUUUUUGAGCCAUCUAUUCUUCUUCUUUCACUGCUACUAUCAGAUUAGUUGACCUUCCAGAAGCUGCCUCAUGCCUACUUUUUUAGAUUUGUUACCUGUCUCAUUUUACCAUUGGGUGAGUUGGCGUCUCACCAUCUCCGUUGCUUGACUCAAUGGAGAAACCCUUGAAAAUAUUUGAAAUGAAACCAAAUAGAAAAAUGUCCCGAGAAGUAGGAGAAAACUAGGGAUUGAAGCUUUCCUUUGUUUUUUUCCUGUUGGAUUCUGAGUCAUUACAAGUAAAAUAAAAUGUAUCGAUCUAUAGUCAGUUGAUAUGUUAUGUGGGCAGAAUAAAUUCAAAUGUGUUAUCUUCAUUGUCGCACUCAUGUAGGUAUGCAGGGUGGACUGGUUUUUAUUAAUCACUAAUGGUUAGUAUCUGUCUAGAAAAGGGUGUUGGUUAGCCUUAGCCUAAAGGAAGCAAAGGGAAAUUUGUUUUCACAUACGAUAUUCUCAUGGUGAAUGAUCUCAAGGCCCUAUGACAUCUCGCCAAUGUUGCUGAUAACAUGAUUGUUAACCCCAUGAUAUUUGUUAAGGAAAAGCGCACUCCUAGCUGUGAUUUUGCACCUGGUAUUUCAAACAUGUAGAGAAAAGGAUCCAUUUCAGAGAGAUUCAACGAAAUUAUGUUAGCAAGUUUGGAGUUGAUGAUGAUGAUCACAAGAUGGAACAGGAAUUAGGCAAUAAAUACGUUCUUUCGAGGAAGAACACCCCUCUAAAGCAUAACCAUGAGGAGACCUCAAAUGUUUCCAGCACUGCUGGGAUCAUGGUGAGGCAGAGAUAUACCUUGAUUGCUUUCAUGUAAGAUAUAUCAACUACAUAAUGAUACAUUAACAGGUUUUAUAAUCUAUGUUGUAUAGUUAUAGUAGUAUUCUAAUUCCAGCUCUGUUGAAAGCUUGAAAGAGUGUAAAAAGCUGCUUUUGAUUUAUUAAUUUUUUCAAUUCCAUGUAGGCUUUGUCGAGGAGGAAUGAUAAUUUAAUUGGGAGAAAGGGCAUUUAUUUAAGAUAAUAUUUGGUAAAAGAGUUCAGCCUUUGAUCUCCUUGCCUGAUGAAACUCUCAUGUACUGCACUCAAGAAAGUUACACUCAAAUACCCUACAAUGGCCAUUCCCAAACUAUGGCUGCCUAAAAGGAGCAAAGCCUUGUUAUUUUCUCAUCAUACAGAAACAAAUAUAAGAUUACAAAUCCACCUAUUUUCAAUGAAAGAUAGUGUGCAAGUUACCAAAUUUCUUGUAUCAGAAGUAAAUUGAUAAAACAUAUUUUUGCAAAGCCCAAAAUGCUGAUUAAAAAGUU